UUCCCCCCUUUUAUCUUCAACUGAAAGUGUCAGCUGACCCAAACCAAUGAUACUGCAUUUAAAAAGCAUUGAAAUAAGCAUCUGAAUGAGACCAUUUGUAGCCAUUGCUUCUGAAAACUUUCCGUGGUACGAUACGUUUAGCACACUGACGACACGGAGCACGUCAGCCAGUGUUACGCUACACUGUGAGCCACGCCUACUUGCUCCUCACAAGUGUCUUAGUCGAGCAAUUGUGCACAUUAUUGUCUUAAAGUGUUUUGGCCCAAGUGUUGUAAGGUUCAGGUGCAAACAGUAGUGCGCAUUGAUGAUAAAACCACUCUCUUAAAUCUUUCAUGUUUUUAUUUUUUUUUUUUAAUUUAAACUAAAACAUUUUGUGUCGGUGGGGGUUUUCAAUCUUCAGUCUAACGUGUCCUUCAUGUUUUGAUUCUCUGGGGGAACAUAUCUGCUGAAUAGAUAGCAUAAAUGAAGACUUUUUGUUAUUUUACAAUCUAAAGCCUUACUUAUGUUUGCCUUGUAUCAUGAAGAAUAUUCUAACUGGGAGUACCUUUUUAAAAAAAAAAAAAAGAUAAAAAAAGCAGUUUCAAUCAAAUGUUUUUAUCUCUGGGAUGAAAGUGAUUUGUAACAAUAUUGUGCCAUCUGUUUCUGUCUACGUGUCACGAGCAAAACAUGUUAAAUCGUGUUUCACUUACUUGGUGCUCUGCUUUUCAGUUGCCUUCUCCAAAGGAUACUUUCAGGUCUUCAAAUCAGCAAGAUCUGGUGUUUGUUAUCCAGUUGUAUUUUUUCAGUCGGUUUCUUCUUACUUGCAAUAAAUCACUCCUGUAUGCCUCUUAAGGAAAAGUUGAGAAUACUACUGCCAUGUCAUGAUUUCUGUCCAUUCAGCAACUCCGUAACAUCCUUAUUGUUCCAUUGAAAGAUUCAUUUAACUGUCAAAAUCUGCAUUUUGAUAAAUGUCUUUAUUAAUAUACCAACCUUUGUAUGAAGACUUAACUAAGAUUAAUAAAGUGAAGCAUUCCUAUGGUCCAACACUGUCGAAAUAUCUCAAUAAAGAUGUGUUGUGCUGCACAGUCAGAAGA